GAAGAGCCUCGUACUGUCAGGCAAACACCAACCAUAUCUAAAACACAUAAUUACAUAAAAUUUACCAACAAGUAUUAGCCCAUUCAUGCAAUUGAGAUCAAGUAGUUACAAGUCAAGUAGAUCUAGAAAUUGAUCUAGUUCCUGUCUAAAUGUGCAUAAAACAUGCUGAUAAGAUUCUUACAAUUUCUAUCACCGACAUAAAUUGAAUGACAUUUAUAACAUUUCGAAGUGCCAAAGUCAAUACAAACUCAUCUGGCAAGCUUUUAAUUCAAACCUGAAAGUUGAAAUUUAACUUUUAAUUCUGUUAUGAUUACCUGACUCAUGCGUGGACGACG
rnacentral:misc_RNA from 1 species